rnacentral:rRNA from 1 species
GACGAACGCUGGCGGCGUGCCUAAUACAUGCAAGUUGAGCGCUGAAGGUUGGUACUUGUUCCAACUGGAUGAGCAGCGAACGGGUGAGUAACGCGUGGGGAAUCUGCCUUUGAGCGGGGGACAACAUUUGGAAACGAAUGCUAAUACCGCAUAAAAACUUUAAACACAAGUUUUAAGUUUGAAAGAGGCAAUUGCAUCACUCAAAGAUGAUCCCGCGUUGUAUUAGCUAGUUGGUGAGGUAAAGGCCCACCAAGGCGAUGAUACAUAGCCGAACGGAGAGGGUGGUCGGCCACAUUGGGACUGAGACACGGCCCAAACGCCUACGAGAGGCAGCAGUAGCGAAUCGUAGGCAAUGGACGAAAGUCUGACCGAGCAACGCCGAGUGAGUGAAGAAGGUUCUCGGAUCGUAAAACUCUGUUGGUAGAGAAGAACGUUGGUGAGAGUGGAAAGCUCAUCAAGUGACGGUAACUACACAGAAAGGGACGGCUAACUACGUG